UAUUAUAUUAUUUGUAAGUCGCUCUGGAUAAGAGCGUCUGCUAAAUGACUUAAA
rfam:Salmo salar isolate Sally breed double haploid chromosome ssa13, whole genome shotgun sequence.